GCACAUCGCUGAAAGGUUCCGCCAGGGAGCGCGCGCGGGACGCGGAGCCUCAAACGGGGAUCGGAUGGGCACUGCGGGCACGUAGUUCUCCAAGAGGUCACCUUGCUGUGAACCAGAAUUCCCAUCCGCAAAAUGGGAUGAUGAAACUCAGGCUCAGAGUGGUGAACUGGCUCUCCCAAGGUGACGGAGCUGGGGUUUGAACUCAGAUCCAUCUGCUCCAGAAUUUGUGCCCUUUCUUGGACUGGACAAAGCAGUUCGUGGAGCUCCAGUUUGUAGGUGAUGACACUGGGAUUUGCACCUUGAUCAGCCCAGCCUGAGGUCUGCACUUUUUGCGGAUGUGCUGAGGCCUCAUGAUGGAAGAGUCAGACUUCCUGCCCUGGAGGAGCUCACGGUCUCAUGGAGAAAAAAGACGAGAACCAUCCAUUCCAACAAAUAAAUAUAAAUACAUGGUGAUGACUUCCAUGAAGAAAGCAAAUGAGAGGUUGAGAGAUGAUGGCAGAGAAAUCCUACUUACUAUGGUGUGAUCAGGGAAGCCUUCCUGGAGGCAACAGUCAAGCUGAAACUCAGAGGAUACAAGGAACAGCCAUGAGAAGGGUGAAGAGGAAGCUGUUCCAGGCAGAGGGAACAGCAUGUGCAAAAUCCCUGAGGUAAGAAAAAGUGUAGCAUGCUGAAGAAACGGAAAGAAGCCAGUGUGGGGAAAGCAGAGCAACUAGGGGUGAAAGAGUGGGAGACAGGGCCAGGACACACAGGGCCUGGCGAACCAUGGAGAAGAGGUGGGUUUUUGUUCAGAGCACAGUGGGAUACCAUUGCAAGCUUUCAAGUGGGAAAGUGAGAAGAUCUCUUGGAUGCCAGUGGGUGGGACCACAGGAGGCACCCAGCUGAGAGAUCUGCACACUAGGCCCCUUCCCCACACCUGAUCCUUUAAACCCUUCAUUUGUACACACCUUGUGAUGGAGACUCAGUACCUUGGAAUAGAAUUCCUUCCAUGGUUGGAUAGUUUGAGCUGAAGGAACAUUAUCCCUUUUAUCAAUGACUCUCAAAUGUUUUCGUUUCAGCAUGGCCAACAAGGUGAAACACUGUCUCUAUUAAAAAUACAAAAAUUGGCCGGGCGCAGUGGCUCAAGCCUGUAAUCCCAGCACGUUGGGAGGCCGAGGCCGGUGGAUCACUAGAUCAAGAGAUUGAGACCAUCCUGGUCAACAUGGUGAAACCCUGUCUCUACUAAAAAUAAAAAAAUAAAAAUUAGCUGGGCAUGGUGGCGCGUGCCUGUAAUCCCAGCUACUCAGGAGGCUGAGGCAGAAGACUUGCCUGAACCCAGGAGGCGGAGGUUGCGGUAAGCCGAGAUCGCGCCAUUGCACUCCAGCCUGGGUAACAAGAGCGAAAGUCCAUCUCAAAAAAAAAAUAUAUAUAUAUAUAUAUAUAUACACGAAA